GCACCACAAGGGGUGGAACCUGCGGUUCAAUUGGAUUCAACGCCGGACAACUCACCAGGGGCGACAGUUGGUUGAAGGCCAGGUUGACGACUUUGCUGGACUAGCUGAGAGGUGGUGCAUGGCCAUCGUCAGCUCGUACCGUGAGGCGUCCUGUUAAGUCAGGCAACGAGCGAGAUCCUCGCCCCUAGUUGCCAUCGGUGGGAAGCCGGGCACUCUAGGGGGACCGCUGGCGCUAAGUCAGAGGAAGGAGAGGGCGACGGUAGGUCAGUAUGCCCCGAAUCCCCUGGGCUACACGCGGGUUACAAUGCGCAGGACAAUGAGAUGCAACCCCGUAAGGGGGAGCCAAGCCCCUAAACCUGCGCUCGGUUCGGAUCGAGGGCUGUAACUCGCCCUCGUGAAGCUGGAAUCCCUAGUAAUCGCGUGCCAACACCGCGCGGUGAAUGCGUCCCUGCUCCUUGCACACACCGCCCGUCAAGCCACUCGAGUGGGGUCCGGAUGAGGUCAGUUCAAGUUGGACUGCUCGAAUCCGAGUUCUGCAAGAGGGGCU
rnacentral:rRNA from 1 species